rnacentral:lncRNA from 1 species
CGGCUUUGGCGGUGGGGGCGGGGUCCUGGGCCUCCACCCACAAUAUACCUAAACUAAAGAUAGUAUAUUUGGUAUCUUGCCUCCAGAUGGUAUUGCGGCACCUAAUAAAUGCUUGUGUAACCCUCAAACGUUUGUUAGAGAACCUUUUAUCAAAUCUAGCGAACCUUGAAAUCUUUGAUUUAUAUCUCUGUUCAUCGUUGAGGACCGUGAAGAUCUCAAGUAACCGACUGUUGCCCUGUCCGAGGAAAUAGUUCUGUAUUUGUAAUUCUUCUCUUUUGUUUGUGCAGGCGUUAUUUAUACCCAAAAAACAUGAGAGAUAACUUGCUUCCUCCACUUUAUGGAACUAAGCAUUCGCACAUACAAAUUAGGUGCUAAGUGAAUUAUCCAGAUUUGGUGGGCAUUAUUGAUAGUUUGCUUUGGUUUUCUCCUCAAGUGGACAUCCUAUCUUUUUGCCGGACUGUAGGCUUAAAGACUGAAGAUAAUUCGUUUAUCUUUCAAAUGCACUAACACCAUAGUAUGCACGAAAAGAUUAGUGGCCUGCACCUGUUGUUCUUUAUGUAUGAUUGUCCUUGCGGUAUGUUUCCUUUCUUAAAUGUCUUUGAUUUUUUAUUUUAGUGACAAAAACUUCAUAUGUGGUUUCAAAUCUGCUGUUUACAUAGCAGGACUCCAAUUAUGUGCAAAGUAGCCAAAACCUAUAGUUAGUGAACUAACAUAUGCAAAAUUAUAUCACCUACAAACUAGUGAUUUUGAGCCUAUUAUAAAGGUUGGCAUGGUUACCAAAUUCUUUUUAGCCCCUUAAAAGUUUGAUUAUAGAAAUUUUUUCCUUAGAAAUAUUUGCGAAAUUAUUGGCUUGUUGACUGGUUAAGGGUCAGGGAUCCUUGGUUGAUUUGUAAACAGUUUGAGAAAUUGUGUGAUUGGAUAAAUUUGAAACUCUAAUUGCUCGAUCUAUUAGUUUGGGCUAUGUUUUAGUCACGUUAGUAUGUUUUAGUCACAUAUAGCCGAUAUUAUUGCUUGAGAUAGAGCUUUAGUUAUUGUAUUGUUACUGUUACCGUUAUUGUUAUUAAUAAUACUAGAACGGUAAGGACACAGACUCGACAAGCUUUUUUCCUUUUGCUAGAACGAAGGCCAAGUGUAUUAUUGAAUUAAAAACUAAGGCGGUUCACUAUUAGUUCCCGAAUAGUGCUUGCAAUAAAGUAAGAUAGCAUAAUUGGGUGGGUUAUCCCAUUAAACAGUACCAUCCCAAAUGAAAUAUGUGAAAUACAAGAUUUCCCAUAGUUUGCAAGACAUUGGGUGGGUUAUCCCAUUAAACAGUACCAUCCCAAAUGAAAUAUGUGAAAUACAAGAUUUCCCAUAGUUUGCAAGACAGUCCACUGCCGUAUUUGUCUCCCUGAAGUAUGAUGAAUGACUGGUAGACCCAUGGCGUCAAGUAGGAGCUAGUCUAGUGGAAACAUGAUAUGUGCACCACUUAUCUAAUCAAACUGCACAUUGUUUUGAUUACCUAAUUGGAUGAAGCUUUCCUUUCCGUAUUUCUUCUUUUUUUAACUUUAUCCCCCGGGAUUGGGGGUGAGGUGGAGGUAUUUUGCGCCAGCUAUAUACAAGUUGUCGAUUCAAAAGAAUGUUUACCUUUCCUAUGUCAGUUUGAUGAUUGAUUGUUCAUGCCUUCAUGGAUAUAUUUGUUACCCUUGUUCCUUUCGUGCAUAUUCGCUUCUAACUUAUUCUCUGGUUUUAUAGUUUACAUACAGAGAUAAUGAAUAUGAGAAACCUUGUUGUGCAUCUCUACCUUGCAAAUGUUGGAGGCAUGAGCUACAGAAAGUUGAAUUGCAAAUCUUUGGCUUGAGGGAGCUAUUGAAUUUGGAAAAAUACUUUCUCAGGAACACAGAUACAUUAGUGAUAAUUGAACAACCACAAGGAUGGAAUCACAGUAAUCCAGUUGGUUAGCAAUUUGAACUUCCCACCUGAUUACCGACCUUGUAAAUCUUCUCCCCUUAUCAUGUUAGGAUUCGGAAAGAAUAAGCAAACCACAAGUAAAAGAAAACAAGAACAAUACACAAAUUUACGUGAAAACCUUUUGCGGGAAAAAUCACGGACAGAGACAAAGGAGGUUUCACUAUGAUGGAAAGAGAGUACAAUGUGGAGAAGGCUGAAUUUUCUGAAUAAUAAAAUAACCCACUAAAACGCACAUAUAUUAUGUGCGUACAAAUAGGUCCUAGGCCCAAAAACAUAAAGGUCCAUCAACCAAAAUUCGGGUCACAAUUCUAACAAUCUCCACCUUGACAUGAAUUCUAAUUCAGAACUCAAAUCCAUUUUAAGACACACUCUCUACCUCUUCCACAAAAGCCCCUAAGGGCACAUCUUAACAGUUAACACUAACCAAGUUCAAGCAAUGCUCAAACUUGGUACUUGGUAGUGUCUUGGAUAUCAGCAGGAUUAUCAUGAGUACUAAUCUUGCUCACCACAAUAUCACCACGAGCAAUAAUUUCACGCACAAAAUGAUACCGAACAUCGAUGUGCUUUGUCCUCUCGUGAAAUAUUUGAUCUUUCCUUAGGAAGAUAACACUCUGACUGUCGUAAAAGACCUUAGUAAUCUGUAAGUCUUUACUAAGUUCACCAAAUAGAUACUUUAACCAAAUAGCUUCCUUGAAAGCCCCUGUAGUAGCCAUGUACUCUGCCUCAGUAGUUGACAAAGCAACCGUAGUCUGUAAGGUAGAUUUCCAACUAAUAGCACAACCACCAAUGGUGAAAACAUAGCCUGUAAGGGAUCUCCUUUUAUCAUGAUCUCCUACAAAAUCAGAAUCAACAUACCCGAUCACUCCAUCUCUAUUUCGCCCAAACUGUAAACAAACAUCAGCAGAUCCAUACAAGUAUCUGAAAAUCCACUGAACUUUUUUCCAAUGUUCUUUGCCAAGAUUUGUCAUGUAUCUGCUAACUACACUGACGGCAGAAGAUAAAUCUGGUCAGGAAUACACCAUCACAUACAUAAGAGACCCAACAGCACUAGAGUAUGGAACUCGAGACAUAUAGUCACGCUCAUCAUCUGCUUUUGGAGAUAAAGUGGUCGAGAGCUUGAAGUAAGAUUCCAAUGGAGUACUUAUAGGUUUGGCAUUUUGCAUAUUGAACCUGUGAAACACUUUCUCAAUAUACUUUUCUGACUCAAAUAUAACUUACACAUCUCUCUAUCCCUCAUAAUUUCCAUGCCAAGAAUCUUCUUUACUGCUCCUAGAUACUUCAUCUCAAACUCCUUGCUGAGCUGGGCUUUGACUUUUAUUAUCUCUCUCAUAUCCUUUGUUGCAAUCAACAUAUCAUCAACAUACAAAAGAAGGUAUACGAACGAACCUUCACUUAACUCCUUGAAGUAGACAUAGCUAUCAUAACUACUCCUCUGAAAUAUAUGAGAGGUCAUAAAAGAGUUAAACCUCUUAUACCACUGCCUGGGUGACUGCUUUAAUCCAUAAAGAGACUUUUUCAACAAGCAUACAUAGUCCUCCUUUCCUGAGACUACAAACCCCUCUGGUUGCUGCAUAUAGAUGUCCUCCUCAAGUUCUCUAUUUAAGAAUACAGUUUUGACAUCCAACUGCUCAAGCUCAAGAUCGUGCAUGGCCAUAAUAACAAGCAAGGCUCAAAUCGAAUUAUGCUUUACAACUGGAGAAAACACAUCUGUGAAGUCAAUACCCGGAACCUGACUGUAUCCUUUAGCAACUAGUCUUGCUUUGUACCUAGCAUCUUUAACUCUUGAUGUUCCUUCUUUCUUUUUAAAUACCCACGUGCAACGGAUAACUUUUUUAUCUUUAGGCAAUCUCACCAAAUCCCAUGUGCCAUUCUUAUGAAGUGAUUCCAUCUCCUCCUGCAUAACAAUCAUCCAUCGGCCAGAAUCAUCACAACUAACUGCCUCUAAGUAAGAAAAAAGUACUUCACCAGAAUUAAUAACUUCUGCUACAUUCAAUGCAUAAGAAACCAAAUCAGUUUCACCAUACUUCUGAGGAGGUCUAAUAUCUCUUCUAGGCCUUUAUUUAGCAAUAGAAUAAUGUGGUGUCACUGGUGGUGAAGAAGAAAUAGUACCACUUUGUAUCUCCAAGAUAGAUUGAGAAGUAGGCACUAGUGUAGUCUCUGCUCCAAUCUGCAAUUCAAUGUAGGUGUUUGAAUGCUGCUGAUUCAUGUCUCUACGCUUAUAUGGAGGUGAAGCACUAGAUUCGGAGGGAGCCUGAAGCACGGUAGUUUCAUCAAACACAACAUCCCUGCUAAUUAUAACCUUUCUGAUUUCUGGACACCAAAGCUAAACCUUUAACACCAGGCUUAUAACCCAUAACUAAGCACUUAACAGAUCUAAGUUCCAACUUUCCAUUAUCAACAUGAGCAUACGCAGGACAUCCAAAUAUCCUCAAAUCAGAAUAACUAGCAGGAGUACCAGACCAUACCUCUUGUGGAGUCUUUUUAUCAAUCGCGACUGAGGGAGAGCGGUUAAAAAGAAGACAAGCCGUGGAAGCAGCUUCGACCCAAAAAGACUUGGGUAAACCAGUAUUAGAGAGCAUACAACGCACCUUAUCCAUUAUAAUCCUAUUCAUUCGUUCGGCCAUACCAUUCUGUUGUGGAGUAUGAUGGACUGUCAAGUGCCUCACAAUUCCUUUUGACUUGCACAAAGCAUUAAAUUCAUUAGAACAAAACUUUAAACCAUUAUCGGUCUGAAGGCGUUUUACCUGCUUCCCUGUCUGCUUGUCAAUCAUAGUUUUUCACUCCUUAAAAGUAGGCAACACAUCAUUUUUUUGCUUUAGAAAGAACACCCAAACUUUUCUGGAAUAGUCAACAAGUAAUUAGCGUCUCCUCUAGAAGGUACUCUAGCAGGACCAAGUGUGCCCUUAGUUGAGUGGAUGCCUUUAGUGAAUCUGACUCUCUUCUGCUUCGCGAAUAUGCAGUGCUCAUAGAACUUCAAUUUGGUAAUACUCUGCCCAUCAAGAAGUCCUCUCCUACUUAGUUCAGUCAUCUCGUUUUCACUCAUAUGCCCCAAGUACAUAUGCCAAAGUUUAGCAACGUCACUUUCUGAUAGGGAGAAGGUAAAAACAGCUGUAUCACCUGUAACAGUAGAGCUUUGUAGGACAUACAAAUUUGCAGACUUUCUCUAUCCCUUCAUCACAACAAGAGAACCUUUAGUAACCUUCAGGACUCCACCUUCACCAGUGUACCUAUAACCACUCGAAUCAAGGGUACUCUAGGAAAUAAGAUUUCUCUUCAGGUCUGGGAUAUACCGCACAUCACCAAGUGUCCUCACAACCCCAUCAAACAUCUUGAUCCUGAUUAUUCCAAUACCAGCUAUCUUAUAAGGUGUGUUAUUUCCCAUCAACACAGCACCUUUAGAGACUAUUUCAUAUGUUGUUAACCAAUCUCGAUUACGACACAUAUGAAACGUGCAAGCUGAAUCAAGAAUCCAAUUCUCACAGGGUUUGGAGUUACCAUCAGAAACUACCAAGAGUUCUCCAUCACUACUUUCAUCUUCCACAAAGUUGGCUUCACCGUACUUCUCUGGUUUCCCUUCGGUUUUGGAGUUUCUCUUUUCUCUCUAUUCUGUAGCUUCCAAUACUCGGAUUCUAUAUGGCUUUUCUUUUUGCAGUAAUUACAGGUUUUGUUUUUGUUUCUGGAUUUCGACCUAUUCCUGUCAUCACCCCCAGAAUUCCUCUCAUAAGUCCUUCCUCCUCGAACAAUGAGACCAUCUCCUUGAAUCUUUGACGCAUUCACAAGAUGCGUCAUCUUCUUCUUAUAGAACAACGCAUCAUAGACUUCAUCUAUGAUCAGGGUAUCACGACUCUAUAAAAUCGUAUCACUAAAGGUCAUGUAUGAUGCAGGCAGCGAACAUAACAAAAUCAAUCCUAAAUCUUCCUCAUCGUACUUAACCUCCAGAGUCUCUAAAUCAGAGACGAUUUCUUUAAAGAUAAAUAGGUGAUCUUCCAAAGACGCACCCUCAGACAUACGAUGGGAAUAAAUUCGUUGUUUGAGAUGCAAAUUACUUGUUAGACUCUUCGUCAUGCAUAAAGAUUCCAGUUUCAACCACAACGCAGCGACAGUGGUCUCCUUCAAAACAUCCUAUAGAAUCUGAUUGGAUAAAUGAAGGUGGAUUUGAAAUAGAGCCUUCCGAUCCUUACGUCGUUUGUCCUCGUCCGUCCACGAUGAGGGCAUCUUAUCAAACCCUAAUAGAGCAUCGUCCAAAUUCAUCUAAGCGAGCACAACCCGCAUCUUAACCUGCCAUAACAAAAAUUUGGUGUUGCGAUCCAACAACGGAAUAUCAUACUUCAUGGUUUCCAUCCCCGAGAAAACAAUCAACCAAGCUUUGAUACAAGUUUGUUAGGAUUCGAACAAAAUAAGCAAACCACAAGUAAAAGAAAAUAAGAACAACACACAGAUUUACGUGGAAACCCUUAUGGGAGAAACCACGAGCAGAGGCAGAGGAGGUUUCACUAUGAUGGAAAGAGAGUAUAAUGUGGAGAAGGCUGAAUUUUCUGAAUAAUAAAAUAACCCACUAAAUCACACUUAUAUAUUACGUGCGUACAAAUAGGUCCUAGGCCCAAAAACAUAAAGGUCCAUCAACCAAAAUUCGGUCACAAUUCUAACAUAUUAUUUCCAGAUUAAAGAAAAAAACUAUCAUGGAGCCCUUGUACUUCUUAGAGUAUCUGACCAUGAGAAUGGAAUCAUAGUAAUCCAGUUCGUUGGCAACUUGAACUCCCACCUUGGUGUUGAAGGUUUGAUUACCCCAUCUUACUUCCAGAGAAAAGAAAAUCACUAAGAUAGAGCCUUUGUACUUCAUUAAAGUAUCUACAUACAGAAGCCUAUACUCUGUGAGGUGUAGCAACAAAAUGGCAAUGUCACUUGUCCCCAUUGGUACUGAAUUGAUGUCAUUCAUAUUUUCCUUUAGCUACUGGAUUUGAAAACAGUGAAUACUUUGUUAAUGGUCCGACAUAAGUAUAUUUUAUAUAAACUAUAAUGUUUUCAUGUUAAUUUACUUUCGUUGUUCUUUGUUGGUCUUUUCUUGAUGUCUGUGAGCUCUCCUUUUUGGUCUGCUUUUGACAAUUUAUUUGAAUGUGUCUCUUUACAAUUUUGCCUUAUUAUCUUUUGCGUAACAUAACCGUAGUGUAAAUAAGCCAGUGCUUGUUCUUCUAUCUUAAUGUACUCCAUGAAAGACUCAGAUAUUGAUCCCUUAUUUUUGCGUCUACGGACAAAAGCAGCUUUGUUACUUCUUAUUUGAUACAGAAUGGUUGUUACUCAGGUUCCUCUAUUUAAACGGAUUCGACUAGUUUCAAAUUUCAUGCUAAUUGAACAGCUAAAGAGAGUUUAUAUAAUCACUUAACUAUCCCGUUUAGCUAAAUCGUACAAUGUGAAUCAAUCACAAAUGUUUAGAUUGAUCAUUGUGAUGUUUGGUGUGAUCAUGCAUCGUUUAUGACUGUAUGUUAUGCCUUAUAGCUACUUGUUAGACCCUCAGUUUGAUGGUUCGGACUACUCAGGCUACUAGGAAUUUACAUGAUCAAUCUACCCAAGACCAAAUGGUUCGGGCCAAAGUUAGAUUCGUUUGAGGUCAGUCUGUCGAUAUGGGCAUGGCAAGACCUUGGUAGUGGCGUGGCUAAGGCAUGGCAAGGGCUGGCAGGCUAAGGCAAAUUAAGGCUGAGGUUGAUUUCAGCUAAGGAAAGUCAUGUUGCAAAGACGUGGUUAAGACAAGACUAGCUGGGCUACACAUGACUGGGACCAGGCGGCUUGGGUACUAACAACGCAGUGGCAUGGGCGAGUGCACAAAUGCCCAGGGCCCUGGUGCGAAAUUGGCACAAGUGCUAUCAAGGAUGUGUUGGCACUGGGCGCGUGUCUUGCACAUGACAAUAAUUUGAAUUUAUAUUUGAAUUUGAAUUAACCGAAAUAAAAUAGGAACAUCUGUUGGACAUGUGACAGAAGGUGUGACCUAUAAAUAGGUACAGG